rnacentral:rRNA from 1 species
CUCCAGACUCCUACGGGAGGCAGCAGUGGGGAAUAUUGCACAAUGGGGGAAACCCUGAUGCAGCAACGCCGCGUGGGUGAAGGAGCGUUUCGGCGCGUAAAGCCCUGUCAGCGGGGAAGAAGAAAGACGGUACCCGACCAAGAAGCCCCGGCUAACUACGUGCCAGCAGCCGCGGUAAUACGUAGGGGGCAAGCGUUAUCCGGAUUCACUGGGUGUAAAGGGAGCGUAGACGGCGACGCAAGUCUGGAGUGAAAGCCCGGGGCCCAACCCCGGGACUGCUCUGGAAACUGCGUCGCUGGAGUACGGGAGGGGCAGGCGGAAUUCCUGGUGUAGCGGUGAAAUGCGUAGAUAUCAGGAGGAACACCGGCGGCGAAGGCGGCCUGCUGGACCGUGACUGACGUUGAGGCUCGAGGGCGUGGGGAGCAAACAGGAUUAGAUACCCCUGUA